rnacentral:rRNA from 1 species
UACGGAGGGGGCUAGCGUUGUUCGGAAAUACUGGGCGUAAAGCGCACGUAGCGGCUCAGCAAGUCAGAGGUGAAAUCCCAGGGCUCAACCCUGGAACUGCCUUUGAAACUGCUAGGCUAGAAUCAUGGAGAGGUCAGUGGAAUUCCGAGUGUAGAGGUGAAAUUCGUAGAUAUUCGGAAGAACACCAGUGGCGAAGGCGACUGACUGGACAUGUAUUGACGCUGAGGUGCGAAAGCGUGGGGGAGCAAACAGG